rfam:Streptomyces sp. Ncost-T6T-2b genome assembly, contig: Ga0115255_12631
CUUCACGGAGCCGACGAGCAGCGGCCGGUCCUCGGGCAGGUCCUGCCCGUAGGUCGCCAGCAGUGCCUGCGCCUC